GACGAACGCUGGCGGCGUGCUUAACACAUGCAAGUCGAACGAUGAAGAAAAGAAUCGAAGCUUCGGCAGAAAUUCAUUUCGGAUUAGUGGCAGACGGGUGAGUAACGCGUGAGCAACCUACCUCUUACAAAGGGAUAGCCUCGGGAAACCGGGAUUAAUACCAUAUAACAUUGCGACGAAGCAUUUCGAUGCAAUCAAAGCUACGGCGGUAAGAGAUGGGCUCGCGUCCCAUUAACCGGAUGGUGAGGUAACGGCUCACCAUAGUGACGAUGGGUAACCGGCCUGAGAGGGUGAACGGUCACACUGAAACUGAGACACAGUCCAGACUCCUACGGGAGGCGGCAGUGGGGAAUAUUGCACAAUGGAGGGAACUCUGAUGCAGCGACGCCGCGUAAGUGAUGAAGGAAUUCGUUUCGUAAAACUCUGUUCUAUGGGAAGAAAAGGACUGUACCAAAGGAGAAAGCUCCGGCUAAAUACGUG
rnacentral:rRNA from 1 species